AGGGUUGGGCGUUUUGAUGUUUGCAUGUGGAGGGAGCGCUCGGAUGGAGUAGCGGCUGAAGACUUUGGUCCGAAUGGGGAGUGGGCAGAAAGGGGACAGACUGACGCGACUUGCUGGAGACAGAUGGGCUGCAAAGGUGGAGGAUGGUGAAUGGAGGACGAUGGUUCUGCGCAUAUUGUCAACUCUGCUGGGCGACUACGUCGUCGUCGUCAUCGUUCUCAUUGUUAUUACAGCCCUCUGACACACCCAAGCCCAGGCGGAAUGAAACCUCCAUCACCAUCACCACCACCCACUGCACCACCACCCCCUACAGCACCACGCACAUGCCUAAAAGCCGUCAACACAAUGUUUGGCUUAGAGACGAAGCAGCGCGACAGCGAUGUUCAACAGACAUGGCACAGUGGUCGAAAAUUGGGGGAUUAACUCAUAAGAGCCAGCUUAACAGAUAUAACAAUUAA
ensembl:ncRNA lncRNA:CR45246 long non-coding RNA:CR45246